UAGAAAUCACUUUUAUGCUACAAUUAAGUCCUAACGCCGUAAAUGGCCUGCAGCUGACAGUGGGUCCCGUGCGAUGCGGCCCGUGAACCCCGCCAGGUCUGGAAGGAAGCAGCGGUAAGCGGUAAACCGUAGGUGCCGCGGGGUUGCCCGCUUCAGCUGCAGCCCGGAUACGGCGUUUUUCUA
rnacentral:SRP_RNA from 1 species